CUUUUAGAGAUAGAAGUGUUCUCUUCGGAGACAAAGUGACAGGUGGUGCAUGGUCGUCGUCAGCUCGUGUCGUGAGAUGUUGGGUUAAGUCCCGCAACGAGCGCAACCCUUAUUGUUAGUUGCCAGCAUUCAGAUGGGCACUCUAGCGAGACUGCCGGUGACAAACCGGAGGAAGGCGGGGACGACGUCAGAUCAUCAUGCCCCUUAUGACCUGGGCUACACACGUGCUACAAUGGCGUAUACAACGAGUUGCCAGCCCGCGAGGGUGAGCUAAUCUCUUAAAGUACGUCUCAGUUCGGAUUGUAGUCUGCAACUCGACUACAUGAAGUCGGAAUCGCUAGUAAUCGCGGAUCAGCACGCCGCGGUGAAUACGUUCCCGGGUCUUGUACACACCGA
rnacentral:rRNA from 1 species